GGGGAUUUAGCUCAGAGGUAGAGCACUUGCCUAGUAAGCGCAAGGCCCUGGGUUCAGUUCCCAGCUCCG
rnacentral:tRNA from 1 species